GACGAGGGGUCCAAGCGUUGUUCGGAAUUAUUGGGCGUAAAGCGGGUGUAGGCGGCUCUAUAAGUCAGGGGUGAAAUCCUGGAGCUCAACUCCAGAACUGCCUUUGAUACUGAAGAUCUUGAGUUCGGGAGAGGUGAGUGGAACUGCGAGUGUAGAGGUGAAAUUCGUAGAUAUUCGCAAGAACACCAGUGGCGAAGGCGGCUCACUGGCCCGAUACUGACGCUGAGGCACGAAAGCGUGGGGAGCAAACAGG
rnacentral:rRNA from 1 species